rnacentral:rRNA from 1 species
UACGAAGGGUGCAAGCGUUACUCGGAAUUACUGGGCGUAAAGGGUGCGUAGGUGGUUUGUUAAGUCUGCUGUGAAAUCCCCGGGCUCAACCUGGGAAUGGCAGUGGAUACUGGCAAGCUGGAGUGCGGUAGAGGGUAGUGGAACUCCCGGUGUAGCAGUGAAAUGCGUAGAGAUCGGGAAGAACACCAGUGGCGAAGGCGGCUACCUGGACCAGCACUGACACUGAGGCACGAAAGCGUGGGGAGCAAACAGG